UUUUUAUUUGUUUCUGUGGACUCUGAGGACAAAGGUCAGGACCUCUCUAUGAAGGUGGCUUGCAGCUGACACUAAACCACGUCCAUGUUUGGUUCUGCCCUUCUCUAGGUCAUAGGAGCACCCAUGACAACACAGGAGUGGGUUCACUAGGUGGCCAGAGCCCUCCUGCACAGCCACAAUAUUCCGCAAGGGCAAAGACCACCUCUGUCACCUCGUAUAACAUUCGCUUGCUUCCUGGAGCCAUUUGCUUGUGCUCCAUGGUAACCUCAGCAGAGGCUCCUGGAGGUGACAGUUCUGGGAUGCAAAGAAGGGCAAAUGAAGCAGGGCAGCUAUUUGUCCAUGUGAGUAUUUGGACUUCCUUGACACACAUAAGAGCAAUUUCCUUCCUUUUUACUUUGAAUCCUAAGAAAAUGCCUCAAUUAAAAAAAAAAAUUAAUCUUGGAAAGAGAGGAUGUGAAUUAACUCACUUUCCAUGACCUGAACCACUUAGAGCUUCCAACAAAGCUUUGGGGGGAAAUCUGUAUUUGAUCAAUGUUGAAACAAUCACUCUGAUACAGAAAUGCAUGCAAAAAGAGCAAUUUCUGACCAGCUUUUAUUUUGCAUAUUCUAUUCCUUUUGACAGUGAUGACAAAUGGAAUAAGAUUUUUGUUCACUACAAGAAGCUCAGUAGCAUGUACCAGGGCAAUUAACUUGGAAAUCUGUGAAUAAGCAUGAUUCAGG
rnacentral:lncRNA from 1 species